AGUUGAUCCUGGCUCAGGAUGAACGCUGGCGGUAUGCUUAACACAUGCAAGUCGAACGGAAGACUUCGGUCUUUAGUGGCGGACGGGUGAGUAACGCGUGAGAACAUGCCUUUAGAUUGGGGACAACAGUUGGAAACGACUGCUAAUACCGAAUGUGCCCUUAGGGGUGAAAGAUUUAUCGUCUAGAGAUUGGCUCGCGUCAGAUUAGGUAGUUAGGAGUGGUAACGGCACACCAAGCCUACGAUCUGUACUUGGUCUGAGAGGAUGACCAGGCACACUGGAACUGAGACACGGUCCAGACUCCUACGGGAGGCAGCAGUGGGGAAUUUUCCGCAAUGGGCGCAAGCCUGACGGAGCAAUACCGCGUGAGGGAGGAAGCCUUUUGGGGUGUAAACCUCUUUUAUUAGGGAAGAAUAGAUGACGGUACCUAAUGAAUCAGCAUCGGCUAACUCCGUGCCAGCAGCCGCGGUAAUACGGAGGAUGCAAGCGUUAUCCGGAAUUAUUGGGCGUAAAGCGUCCGUASGUGGCUUAUCAAGUCUUUUGUCAAAUCGUGCAGCUUAACUGCAUACGGGCGGAGGAAACUGAUGAGCUAGAGUGCGAUAGGGGUCACAGGAAUUCCCAGUGUAGCGGUGAAAUGCGUAGAUAUUGGGAAGAACACCAGCGGCGAAAGCGUGUGACUGGGUCUGCACUGACACUGAGGGACGAAAGCUAGGGGAGCGAAAGGGAUUAGAUACCCCUGUAGUCCUAGCCGUAAACGAUGACAACUAGGUGUGGUUCGUAUCGGCCCGAGCCGUGCCGUAGCCAACGCGUUAAGUUGUCCGCCUGGGGAGUACGCACGCAAGUGUGAAACUCAAAGGAAUUGACGGGGGCCCGCACAAGCGGUGGAGUAUGUGGUUUAAUUCGAUGCAACGCGAAGAACCUUGCCAAGGCUUGACAUCCUCGGAAUCCUUGUGAAAGCAGGGAGUGCCUUCGGGAGCCGAGAGACAGGUGGUGCAUGGCUGUCGUCAGCUCGUGUCGUGAGAUGUUGGGUUAAGUCCCGCAACGAGCGCAACCCACGUUUUUAGUUGCCAGCAUUCAGUUGGGCACUCUAGAGAGACUGCCGGUGACAAACCGGAGGAAGGUGUGGAUGACGUCAAGUCAGCAUGCCCCUUACGCCUUGGGCUACACACGUACUACAAUGCGUUGGACAAAGAGCCGCCAGCCAGCGAUGGUGAGCUAAUCUCAUAAACCAACGCUCAGUUCAGAUUGCAGGCUGCAACUCGCCUGCAUGAAGGCGGAAUCGCUAGUAAUCGCAGGUCAGCAUACUGCGGUGAAUACGUUCACCGGGCCUUGUACACACCGCCCGUCACACCAUGGGAGUUGGUCACGCCCGAAGUCGUUACUCUAACCGUUCGCGGAGGAGGAUGCCGAAGGUGGGGCUGAUGACUGGGGUGAAGUCGUAACAAGGUAGCCGUACCGGAAGGUGUGGCUGGAUCACCUCCU
rnacentral:rRNA from 1 species